AACGAGCCAGACAUUAAACUUGCGGGUUUAAAGCUCAUGGAAAGAGGCCUUACCCAGUGACGAUGAGCGUAAUAGUCUUUGAGACUGUCUUUAUCGGAGCUCGUUGAGUAAGGUGCUGGCGGGAAAACGGGCUUGUAGUCGUGUUAAACACUCAGGUGACGGCAGAAAAAAGAGCUCCCCGUGACACCACGGAGUUGGAUGCAUCCACCUCAGGGUUUGCAACUAGAGGUUUCCUUGUCUGAUACGUAACCGUCUUCAGCUCCGAUACAGGGUGCAGAAGCCUCUGUUUUUGUGACAAGGCUUGGCAGCUCGAGUUUGACACCACGCCUAAGCCAGAGCUUCGAAGGAGACUGUUCCGGCUCCGGAGAUCUUCUUUCCAGCCGGAGACAUUCGCAGAGCUGUGAACUUCACUGACAGAGGAGAAACCACUCCCGGGGUGCCGCAAGAUGCUGUGGAACACCUCAUCCAGACCCUUGGCGACUAGGAGUGCAUUCGAACUGAGCUACUCUCUGGACAAGUAUCUUAUCCCAGCUCGUCCUAAGGGACAUGCACUCAGGUAAGCUUUUUAAAAUCUGACUAGGUACAAGGCUGAUAAAAAAUCUAACGGUUCAUACUCAAUGGGGAGCCUCUGCUCCCUCUCAACUCGGCCACGAUGGAGGAAGAUCGAAAGUUUGAGGUGGGAGCAUCGAACCGUUUAUGGUCAAGCUCUGCCACAACAUGGUGCACCAAAGUCAAAAUCUUGAGUGUUUUUCUUUAGAAAGAUUUUUAUCUAGCAUUAAUGUUAUAUCAUUUAAAAGUUCUUUAAAAAA